UACGUAGGGUGCGAGCGUUAAUCGGAAUUACUGGGCGUAAAGCGUGCGCAGGCGGUUUUUUAAGCCAGAUGUGAAAUCCCCGGGCUUAACCUGGGAACUGCAUUUGGAACUGGAAGACUAGAGGACGGGAGAGGGGGGUAGAAUUCCGCGUGUAGCAGUGAAAUGCGUAGAUAUGUGGAGGAAUACCGAUGGCGAAGGCAGCUCACUGGGUCGAUACUGACGCUCAUGCACGAAAGCGUGGGGAGCAAACAGG
rnacentral:rRNA from 1 species